AGUGGCGAACGGGUGCGUAACGCGUACGGAACAUGCCUUUAUCAGAGGGAUAGCCCUGGGAAACUGGGAAUAAUACCUCAUAACAUUAUUAUAUUGCGUGAUAUGAUAAUUAAAGUUUCGGCGGAUAAAGAUUGUCGUGCGUCCCAUUAGCUAGUUGGUAAGGUAACGGCUUACCAAGGCGACGAUGGGUAGGGGUCCUGAGAGGGAGAUCCCCCACACUGGUACUGAGACACGGACCAGACUCCUACGGGAGGCAGCAGUGAGGAAUAUUGGACAAUGGAGGCAACUCUGAUCCAGCCAUGCCGCGUGUAGGAAGACUGCCUUAUGGGUUGUAAACUACUUUUAUACAGGAAGAAACCUAUCCUUGCGAGGGUAAUUGACGGUACUGUAAGAAUAAGGACCGGCUAACUCCGUGCCAGCAGCCGCGGUAAUACGGAGGGUCCGAGCGUUAUCCGGAAUCAUUGGGUUUAAGGGUUCGUAGGCGGCUAGAUAAGUCAGUGGUGAAAGUUUUCAGCUCAACUGGAAAAAUGCCAUUGAUACUGUUUAGCUUGAAUUAGUGUGAAGUAACUAGAAUAAGUAGUGUAGCGGUGAAAUGCAUAGAUAUUACUUAGAAUACCGAUUGCGAAGGCAGGUUACUAACACUAUAUUGACGCUGAUGGACGAAAGCGUGGGGAGCGAACAGGAUUAGAUACCCUGGUAGUCCACGCCGUAAACGAUGGAUACUAGCUGUUUGGACUUCGGUUUGAGUGGCUAAGCGAAAGUGAUAAGUAUCCCACCUGGGGAGUACGCACGCAAGUGUGAAACUCAAAGGAAUUGACGGGGGCCCGCACAAGCGGUGGAGCAUGUGGCUUAAUUCGAUGAUACGCGAGGAACCUUACCAGGGCUUAAAUGUAGAUUGAUAGGUUUAGAGAUAGACUUUCCUUCGGGCAAUUUACAAGGUGCUGCAUGGUUGUCGUCAGCUCGUGCCGUGAGGUGUCAGGUUAAGUCCUAUAACGAGCGCAACCCCUAUUGUUAGUUGCCAGCGAGUAAUGUCGGGAACUCUAGCAAGACUGCCGGUGUAAACCGCGAGGAAGGUGGGGAUGACGUCAAAUCAUCACGGCCCUUACGUCCUGGGCCACACACGUGCUACAGUGGCCAGUACAGAGAGCAGCCACUUGGCAACAAGGAGCGAAUCUACAAAGCUGGUCACAGUUCGGAUCGGAGUCUGCAACUCGACUCCGUGUAGCUGGAAUCGCUAGUAAUCGGAUAUCAGCCAUGAUCCGGUGAAUACGUUCCCGGGCCUUGUACACACCGCCCGUCAAGCCAUGGAAAGCUGGGGGUACCUGAAGUCGGUGACCGCAAGGAGCUGCCUAGGGUAAAACUGGUAACUAGGGCUAAGUCGUAACAAGGUAACC
rnacentral:rRNA from 1 species